rnacentral:rRNA from 1 species
GGAGGAUCCGAGCGUUAUCCGGAUUUAUUGGGUUUAAAGGGAGCGUAGAUGGAUGUUUAAGUCAGUUGUGAAAGUUUGCGGCUCAACCGUAAAAUUGCAGUUGAUACUGGAUAUCUUGAGUGCAGUUGAGGCAGGCGGAAUUCGUGGUGUAGCGGUGAAAUGCUUAGAUAUCACGAAGAACUCCGAUUGCGAAGGCAGCUCACUGGAGCGCAACUGACGCUGAAGCUCGAAAGUGCGGGUAUCGAACAGGAUUAGAUACCCUGGUAGUCCGCACGGUAAACGAUGGAUGCCCGCUGUUGGUCUGAAUAGGUCAGCGGCCAAGCGAAAGCAUUAAGCAUCCCACCUGGGGAGU